rnacentral:lncRNA from 1 species
GGGGACUCAGGAGAGCAGGUUCAAAUGAAAGCUCCCCAUAGCUACUAACUGCCAGCGCUUGCUUUGGGCCUGUUCCCCCUGGGCAAGGACCAGCCAUCCUUCCAAGCCGUGCACAAAUACCCCCUCCCAUGUGUGUCCCUCAUCUUCCCACAUGAAGGAACACCCUCCUGCUCCCUGAGGCCUGGAUCCACAGUGAUGGAGCGUAUCCGGAUCUCCCUGUGUGACAAAUGCUCACACAUUUCUUUGCUUCUCUACUGGAAGCAUGAGGUCUUUGAGAAUAUACUAGAUCUGUUUACAGCUUUUGAGGGAAAAAAGCCCUAGUGGCCUACUGUUGCUCAAUUAGAAUGUGAUCAAUUGUGUUUCCCAUGGGAGCAGGAGGCAAGGGAGGGGUCUAUGCAUGCGUGGAGCUCACUUUGCAGCACACCCAUCUGUGGCCAACCAUUGAUGCCUGGAUCCAUGGCUGCACCCACACCUCUGCUCAGUCCCUGGAUGGUCCCUGCAGCCAUCCUCAAAAGGAAACCCCAAUUGUAUCCUUGUCUUAAUUAUCAUGAGGGCAUCUGGAAGUGGUGGCAGACGCCAGAGACAGCCUCUUCUCACCCUAGGAGCUGUACCCAAAGCUCUGAAUGAGACUGUCCCUGCCCCGCCCCAUCCACUCCUGGUCCAGCUCAGCAGUGACCUUGGAACUCCAGGAGCAGCUCAGUACCCCUGUCUCCGAGUCAGCUCUGCUCCAGGCAGGGCCAGAAUCUGGAGUGUGCAGGAGGCCGGAUGGCAGGGGCAUUGCCCCAGGACUGAGCCGUAUUCUGAGGGUUCCCAGAGACCUGACCUCCUACUUGUAUACAGUCUCUUCAGUCAACAUCUGCCUUAAAGGCUGUGACCCAGGCACCUUCCCUGGGAAUUAACUCCAGUAUUGUCCUCUGGGUCGUCACAGUCCUUGGCAGCCUCUCCUUCCUGGGGUUACACCCAGUUCCUCUGCUCUUCUCCAGUGGAUGGAAUCUCCUUCUCCUUGACACACAGCAUCUGGAGCCACCAAUCUGCUGCCCCACUCAAAUGUGAGGACCGCACAUGCCUGAGCUCCUGCUGUCUGCACACCACGCACCGUGGGGGUUCCUUAUGACCAGAGACACAGUCUGAAACAAACCUGAAUUUGCUAAACCCUCUAGAGCUCAACAGGACCUAAGCCUUGAUAUGGUUCUGUGUGCUCCUCCCAGGGCGCCCGCUGUCCCCGAGCUCCGGGCCUGAGUGCUGGCUGGCGGAGACCGCACAGUGGGUGCCCCGCUGCCGGACGAUGCCCCUGGGCUUCCAGAUCCAGAGCCUCGGGACGAAACUGUUUUAGGAAGACCCGGAAGGACUCGCCGGUCGCGGCAAGGGACAGGCGGUUCCUGAGACAGGAGGAGCCAGGAAAUGCGGGGCCUGGUGGGGUGAGGAGCACGGGGUUCCUCCUUCAUCCUCGCGGGGACUUUGCCACCGGCUCAGUGUGGAGGCCUCACCGUCCCGCCCGGAUCCGUGGGGCUCCGACAGUGUGGCCCCUGCGAGGACACCCCUAUCCUCCUUGCCCUGGGGCUGCUGCGGGAGGGCGCCCGGGCCGCACUAGGUCCUGAGUGUCCAGGGUCCGGCAGGGGCUUCCCGUUGUCGCCUCCCUGACCCCGCCGCUUGCGGUCCAGGGCUGCUGGUUUCUUCGCUGGGCUGGGAGGCCCUAGCAUGGACGUCGUGAGGCGGAGAAAACCUUGGCAUAGGUGGAAAAGAAGGAUUGGAGGGAGGGCGGCAGAAAGAGAGAGGAAGGAAACAGGGCCGGAGAACAAUGAGAAACCCCCACCACGAAAAUGGGGAGAGGGGGACACGCACAGCCCCCACACUCCACCGACUCUCCGUCUCCUGCUCUCUGCCCAGUAAGGAACACAGGCCCCACCCCCUCCACCCUCAACUGUGUUUGGGAUCAGCCAUUUCAGCGGGGUGAGGCGUCCCCUUGCGGGUGCGAUUGGCAUUUCCCCGAGGGUUGUGAACACUGAACACCUUUUCCUGGGCUCACUGCCAUUUGCAUUCUUCUUCUGAUGCCAGCGGGAAAGGGGAGGUCCCCAAACGCCGGUGGGACCUCGACUCCAGCCAGUGUCCAGACUCUUGAUAUUGCCGGGGAAAUGAAUUCAAGGACCAGUAGGAAAUAGAGAAAGGAGGGAGAUUUAUUGUAAAAGGCAAAGUACACAGUCAAGUAAAGGGAGUGCAGGGGAACUCAAGAGAGAAGCAGGUGCAAGUUUGGGGCUGCCACCUUUCUGGGUUUCUUUAACCAAGGAGUGGAAUAUUCAUGAAAAUUCCUGGAAGAAGGUAGAGAUUUCUCAGAACUGUGGUGCCCCGCAGUUUUACACUAAAUAUAAGUGUUCUCAGAACUGCUCAGGAGCUGGCUGGUGUGUGUUUAGUAUGUUAAUCAGCAUGUAAUGAGGUCCUAGGUGAAACCUAGGUCAAAUGCAGGGCCUUGUUGGGUCCAGUCAUUCUUAGCCAGCUUGGUCCACAUGCUGUUUUUCAGCAUCUUAUCAGCCCAGAGCCUCUGCACAUAUUUCAACAGAUUUCUUGUGCUAGUCACCUGAAACUGCUGCCUGAAAUUUUCUGCUUUUGCGACCACCGUGUAGUAUACCUGUCUUACUUUGGAGAAAUGUCUAUUCA